UAGCAACAGAAAACAGACGAGGACACCAACCCAAGGAUUGCUUCCUGUCAUCCACAGAAAGGAUGUGCCGGAACACUUACCUAGAGAGGCCCAGGAAGGAGCCUGCCAGAUGUCAUUCAACUGCCAGUAAAGUGCCCCCAUGGUGUGCCCUUGCUGCUCCACUAUCUCGCUGCGGCUGCGGAG